rnacentral:rRNA from 1 species
CAGCCGCCGCGGUAAUACGUAGGGGGCAAGCGUUAUCCGGAAUUACUGGGUGUAAAGGGAGCGUAGACGGUUAAACAAGUCUGAAGUGAAAUGCCGGGGCUCAACCCCGGAGCUGCUUUGGGAACUGUAGAACUGGAGUGUCGGAGGGGUAAGCGGAAUUCCCAGUGUAGCGGUGAAAUGCGUAGAUAUUGGGAGGAACACCGGCGGCGAAGGCGGCUUACUGGACGACAACUGACGUUGAGGCUCGAAGGCGUGGGUAGCAAACAGGAUUAGAUACCCCCGUAGUCCCUGUAUCUUAUAC